CAUCGCGAGAUGAAAUCUGAAGGAAGCCGGCGACAAAUAUCUGACCUAACGGACAGAAACUUCAUAUAAGGCAUUUGACCAUGGAUAAGAUUGCAUCACAAAUCAAAGUCCUAUUGCUAUUCGGAAUGGUUGGUGUAAAUGAAGUAGGUAUAAGAUGGAAAGACA
rnacentral:ncRNA from 1 species